rnacentral:lncRNA from 1 species
AGGAAUAUGUAAUUAUGACAUAGUAUGUUAGAUCAUAAAUAAAAAGUAAAGACUCAGGAGGCCAGAGAAGGAAUGGAAACAAUAAGGGAGGGAAAAGGAAAGAAUUUAUAGCAAAACUGACACAAAUCCCAAAAUCCAAGUAGGAUUUCACGAAGCAGAAAAGUGGGAAAUGGUAGCUGCUAAGGAAAAAAGAAGGGAGAGGGACAAGUAGACGUAGGAGUGAGGAGAGAGCCAAGGUGACCGCAGAUGGCCUUGUGGCUUAUAGAGAAGCAGCAGUGGGAAGUGGUAUAGAAUGACACGGGCUCCUGAGAGGUUCCAUCUACACUGGUCUCGAUCUCAGAAGGUAUGAGCCACAGUAAAUAAAUGGCUGCUGAGGAGAACCAUGGAAAUGACGUGCUCGGCCUGCAAGAAUGUCAAGAGGAGAGAGGGCCUGUCCUGACUGAACAAUACCGACAGCCGCCUAAGGGACUUCCAAGUCCCAUGUGUAGCCCUGAAACUGUUCCGGUGUAUGAAGACCAGCCCCCAAGGUGCCAUAAGACUGAACAAAGAGGCAGACAGAUACAAGAUUUCACAAAGUGCAAUUUAGCAGAGACUUCGUAACAAAAGUAUAGUCCUGGAUGGCAGGAAAACCAGGCAGAUGGCUUGGGUCAGAAGACAGUGGCUUAUACAAUGUCUGGAACAAAGGUGAAUUCAUUAAACCAGAAUGUACCUAGUUUACUCAAGCCAGUAUCAGAGUCAGGCACAUUCUUAAUGGUAAAGCUGCGCAUACCGCUAUAUUUUUGUCAAGGUACAGUGUGCAGGGAGAGCAACC